GCCUGGGUGGCUCAGUCGGUUGAGCGUCCGACUUCAGCUCAGGUCACGAUCUCACGGUCCGUGAGUUCGAGCCCCGCCUCAGGCU
rnacentral:tRNA from 1 species